UGCGGGUGUGGCGGAAUAGGUAGACGCAAGGGACUUAAAAUCCCUCGGAGUUAUCCAUGCCGGUUCGACCCCGGCCACCCGCAU
rnacentral:tRNA from 1 species